rnacentral:rRNA from 1 species
GAUGAACGCUGGCGGCGUGCCUAAUACAUGCAAGUCGAGCGAACGGACGAGAAGCUUGCUUCUCUGAUGUUAGCGGCGGACGGGUGAGUAACACGUGGAUAACCUACCUAUAAGACUGGGAUAACUUCGGGAAACCGUAGCUAAUACAGGAUAAGAUUUUGAACCGCAUGGUUCAAAAGAGAAAGACGGUCUUGCUGUCACUAAUAGAUGGAUCCGCGCUGCAUUAGCUAGUUGGUAAGGUAACGGCUUACCAAGGCUACGAUGCAUAGCCGACCUGAGAGGGUGAUCAGCCACACUGGAACUGAGACACGGUCCAGACUCCUACGGGAGGCAGCAGUAGGGAAUCUUCCGCAAUGGGCGAAAGCCUGACGGAGCAACGCCGCGUGAGUGAUGAAGGUCUUCGGAUCGUAAAACUCUGUUAUUAGGGAAGAACAUAUGUGUAAGUAACUGUGCACAUCUUGACGGUACCUAAUCAGAAAGCCCCGGCUAACUACGUG